ACUCCCCUCACCCCUUGACACAAAACCCCUAAAGAAAGGGGAACUUCAGGUAGUGCCUUGUGCCACCCAGUUUCAAUCCUGUUCUUAGUCUGUGCAGAGAUGGGUGGGAGCUGACAUUCUGUAACUCCUCGGAGGACAAAGCCCAAAGUUAAGCUUCUGGGAGCCACGCAACAAAGCAAGGAAAGGUUGUUAUCUUCAUUUUCCCAUCACAUGAGUGGGGUCAACAGGAAAAGGAUAGUGCAAGGGAAGAGGACCAUGAGACCUGGGCCAACAGCUGUUAUCUCCAGAACAGAACAACCAAUAAGCCAUGGAGGAGGUUCAUGAGCUACACAGUCAGAACAACAGCCCCAUCUGUCUAUCCCUUGGUCCCCGGCUGUGGUGGUGCGUCUGGAUCCAUGGUGACCCUAGGAUGCCUGGCCAAAGGCUAUUUCCCUGAGCCGGUGACCAUAACCUGGAACUCUGGAUCCCUGUACAGCAGCGUGCACAACUUUCCAUCUGUCCGGCAUUCUGGGUUCUUCUCCCGCAGCAGCUUGGUGACUGUGUCCUCCAGCACCUGGCCCAGCCAGCCCAUCACCUGCAACGUGGUCCACCCUGCCAGCGACACCAAUUUGGGGAAGACAAUUGAACCCAGAAAGCCUCCAGUUACCCCAUGCCCAGCUUCUUGCAUUGGAGGUGGACCAUCCGUCUUCAUCUUCCCUCCAAAGCCCAAAGAGACACUCAUGAUCUCCCUGACCCCCAAGAUCACGUGUGUGGUGGUGGACGUGAGCGAGGAGGAUCCAGAUGUCCAGUUCAAAUGGUUCGUGAACAAUAAAGAAGUGCACACAGCUGAGACGCAGACCCGGGAGGAGCAGUACAACAGUACCUUGCGUGUGGUCAGUGUUCUCCCCAUCCAGCACCAGGACUGGCUGAGGGGCACGGAGUUCAAAUGCAAGGUCAACAACAAAGCCCUCCCAGGCCCCAUCGAGAAAACCAUCUCAAAACCCAAAGGGCAAGCCCGGAUGCCUCAAGUGUAUGCCAUGCCUCCACCUCGAGAGCAAAUGUCCAAGAAGAAGGUUAGUCUGACCUGCAUGAUCACAGACUUCUACUCCGAAGCCAUCAGUGUGGAGUGGGAAAGAAACGGGGAGCUGGAGCAGAGCUACAAGAACACCCCACCCGUUCUGGACUCAGAUGGGUCCUACUUCCUGUACAGCAAGCUCACUGUGGACACAAACACUUGGUUGCGAGGAGACAUGUUUACCUGCUCUGUGGUGCACGAGGCUCUGCACAACCACCACACACAGAAGACCCUCUCCCACUCCCUGGAGCUAGAACUGGACGACAACUGUGCUGAGUCCCAGGACGGGGAGCUGGACGGGCUCUGGACGACCAUCACCGUCUUCAUCAGCCUCUUCCUGCUCAGCGUGUGCUACGGUGCCACUGUCACCCUCUACAAGGUGAAGUGGAUCGUCUCCUCGGUGGUGGAGGUGAAGCAGACCAUUGCCCCUGACUACAGGAACAUGAUUGGGCAGGGGGCCUAGGGGCAGAACCUCCCUGAGAUGGGGCUCCUUAUGAAGACACCUCUUCCUGCCACCCAUGCAACAUGCUGAGUUCUCAGAUGCAAGAUCCAAUCAAAGACACUGCUGACCCCACAGCCUGAAGAGCAGGACACUGUUACCUCACUGCAUGACCCAGCUGUACUCAAGAGAGACGUCCAGAGGAGGGCCUGAGCCUCACAGCCUCUUUUGAACCCUAGCAGGAGCUGGUGCAAAGGCCACAGAACUAGGGCUGAGCAACCCAGAAGGAUCUCCAGGAGAAGGGCCUGAUGAGCAGAUCCAAGUCAGGCCAGAAGGUGGUCCAGGAGCAACAGGGGAAGAGGAAAGGAUACUAGAAAAGCUAGGCCAGAAUGUGCCCUUCCUGCAGCCUGGCAUCCAGACCAGGCCACAUACGGCAGAAAAUACCAGUUAGAGUAGACAUCCAGAAAGAGAAGCCACACCUGGGACACUGAGGCUGGUUGGCCACUGGUGCUGAAGACACACGGUGACUGUUUCCCCAUUUCAUAUAAAGUCAAAUUCCAGGUCAGAGUCUCCAACAAAGACAGAGGAAGAAAGUCGGGGGGAAAGGGGUGCCCGACUCGUAGGGGACUCCCAAGAGAUGUUCAUUGCCACAAAGCUUAGCUUUGCCAGCUUUUUUUUUUUUUCUUUAAAUUUUCUGGAGCCCAUUUAUGUCUUUAAGGUCUCUCUAUAUCUUUUUAAUAACAAUAAAACAUCCUUCAAUAUUA